ACCAACUGAGCCACCCAGGCGCCCAAGAUGUUAUUCUGAAGACGAAGGAUUACAGUGAGAUUCUUUCAUGCAUCUCCUCUAGCCCUGGUGCGACCAGGAUCGCACUGACCUUGGACAUCCAAGGAAGGGCCAUCAGUGGGCAGCCGCAUCCCUGUCUUGGUGCUUCUCUUUCCAGAGGCUGCUCUCCCUGGAGCUCACUGAUUGCUCAGUGCCUUUGUCCCCUGUCCUGACUUUCCACCUCGAGAUACUGACUCUGUGUUGGAUCUCUUCUGUGAGGCAAAGGUAAUUCUUUCACACAAAUGCUGAAAGCCGUCUGAGCUACCUGCUGAACAUUUUGCAUCCGGUCCCCUCAGCAUAUGGCUGCACUGGAGAUUUCUAGAAUUCCAGGAAGUCACAGAGAUUCUGUGCAAUGGACCCGGGAACACCACUUCACAUUCUUCUCUGGGUCAUUUCAGCAAGAUUCUGCAGAAUUAUUUUGAUUGAUAGGUCUCUUGUUUAGAUGUUUCCAAAAACGUUAAUACCCUUGGUGAAAGAGCAAGGUAAGAAUUUAAGAUGUGUUCAUAAUAAAACAUAGUAGAUUACUAUUUUUGUGGUUCUGUGGGCAUCUGAAUUUAAUACUGUUUAUUUUUUUUCUGUUCAGUUAGCCAGCAUAUUGAAUUUAAUACUUUUUUUUUUUUUUUAAAGAGAGAGAAAUGGUGCUACCCAAAGGGUAUUCUCCGCAAGCUGGGACCGUCCCUCCGCCACCCACACGGGUCUUGUCGCUUUGCCUGGGAGGGCGCGCUCCCACGCUGAUGGCGUGCCUCGGAAGCCUGUGGUGCUGUCAUCUUUCCCCACGCACAUGCACAGAAACCCAAGGAUGGCGUGAAAGCACGAGAAGCUGUCGUGGCGGGGACGGUCCCGAGACGGCGCCACAGGCUGAGCUGAACGAGAGUGACCUGGCCCCCAGGCUCCGCAUCUGGCUGACUUCAACACGUUCCUUCAUUAGCAGCUCUUGGUCUUCAGAAUUCUUCCAGGGUGACUGCUAUUCUAGAAGGUUUCCCAGGGGGUUUGCUCUUCGCCGUUACAUGCGCUCUAAGGAUGGCCAGUUUUGCGAAAUCAUAAUAGAAGAUGUUGAUGAAACCACAUUGCUGAAAGAGAAAGAAAAACAGAAGAAAAAGAAAAAAGAGCCUCCACCCACACCUCCUCCAUCUCCACCCCAACCCUGUCCACCAAAGAAAAAGAAGCGCCCUGACCAAGAGCAGAAAGCCAUAAAGAUCCAGGCGUGGUGGCGGGGCACUCUGGUGCGCAGGACCUUGCUACACGCAGCACUCAGAGCAUGUAUCAUUCAGCACUGGUGGAAGGUGACGCUGGCAAAGCUGCUGGAGAAGAGAAAACGAGCAGUCCUCGAGUCUUUCCUGUGGCAAGAAUGGGCAGCGGUCAAGCUGCAGUCCUUGGUCCGCAUGUGGCGCAUCCGCCAGAGAUACUGCCGUUUGCUCCAUGCAGCCCGCAUCAUCCAGGUCUAUUGGCGUUGGCAUAAUUACCGUACCCGUGGCUUUUUCCGUGGCAACUAUGACCUCACAGCAACCCAUCUGGGUCUUGAACUCGAGAUUUUUUUGGGGUCACAGAUGUGUCGGAUUACAGACAACAUCCCCUUCCCAAUAAAGAACUAACUGAUCAGGUCUGCUCCCACUCUGUGUUACCGUGUCUCUGUCAGACCAGCCCCAGGAGGUCCCUGUGUCAGCAAAGGGUCAGGGAAAAUGAUGGCAGAGACUGGCACGCUCAGCUCUGAGGAAGUGGCUGAGGUCAUUUGGGGUCCCUGGUGGAGAAGGAUUCUGAGCAUCCAGUGCUGGGUGAGUGGGGCCUGUAAUUGAUGAGCAAUGUCUGCCAUGGGUAGGAGAGUUGAGGUUGCAGGGCCGCCCACUCAGCCAACUCCAGAGACACUCCUUUACAGUGUGGUCCAUGUACAUGGCGCCCCCUGUGGUUGUGCCACAUGGAGGUUGCGUCAUCUGAUGCUCUUCAUUCUUCAGUGUCUUCCCAUUAAAUUUAGAACAAUUCCAAAAGCCCUCCUGGGUCUCCAUAAGCCUGCAUGAUCUGGCCCUGGCCGUGUCACCCUCUCUAUGUCCCUCCUGGCCACCCUGCUCUUCAGAUCUCCCCCCCUGACUCACACUCUCAUCUCAGAACUUUUCACUUGUUGCCUCCUCUCCUUAGAUAGCCUUUCCAGAUGGAGCUCCCCUCCACUCACAUGUCUCUGCUCCAUGCUCCCUCCUCAGGGAGACCUUCUUUGACCAUCUUAUUGAAAUGGCUUCCCCACCUGCUACUGUAUGUUCUACUACCUGACUCUGCUUUCCUGUUUUCAAAGUCCCAAUUACUACCCAAGCUUAUCUUACCUCAUUUUCUAUUUUCUGUUGCCCCCACUAGCAGGCGAGUUCCAGGAGAGCAAGGACUCUGGGUUCAGUGCUGUUCCCAGAACCUAGGUCAGUAGGUUCUCUCUGCUUCUCCCUCUCUCUCCCUUUCCAAUAUCUUAUUAUAUAUGUGUAUAUUUUUUAGGUUCUUCAUAUUAGGCCAUUUUGUCGUCCUUAAAAAAAUCCCUGUCUGAGUUGGGAGAGACUGCCCCUCCCAGGGCCAGCCAGUUCUUAGAGAUAGCAAAGGACUCAUCCCAGAACAUGCCUUUCAUCCACAAACGAACAAGUUCAGGGCCAUACCUCCUCUCUCUUUGUCCUGUACACCCCCAGAAGGCCAUAUUCCUCUGCUUUAAUCAUCCCAAGCCAGGUACGAGGCAUCUGAGGUCCCCCCAACAACUUAGAGACCACAGAAAAUACUCAAACCAGCCAAUCCUAAACUGUUUACCCUAUCCUGCCUUGCCUUUCCCACUCCAACAAAGGCCAUGGGAAAAGCUGUUUUCUCAGUCCUGCCUUCUGCCACCUGACCAUACCUGAUGCUGCCCUGUGACCCUGGGGGACCGGCAGUGACCUCCUCUUUCAGACCUUGGAGUAUAAUAAAUUUUGUGUUCUUGGGCUUCUGUUCUCUUGUGGCCGCACCUGACAGACCAUCACAUAAAAGAACACAGAACAUGAAUCUAAUUUAAGUAAAAUUCACAUAACCAUUUUUAGAUUCACCACAUAAUAACAAAUUCAGUGGCAUUUAGUACCUUCACAGUGUUAAGCAACCACUAUGAUCUGUAUCCAGUUCUAAAACAUUUUCACUGUCCUAAAUGAGAACCCUGUGCCCCUGAAGCAAUCACUUGCCUGCAUCCCAUCCUCCAGCCAAUGGCAACCACCAAUCUGCAGCCUGUCUCCAUAGAUUUCCCUCCUGGGGACUUUUCAUAUAAAUGAAAUCAUAAAAUAUUCUGUGUUGGUUUUACUUAAUAUGUUUUUGAGGCUCAUCCACACUGUAGCAUGCAUCAGUCCUUCAUUACUUUUUUAAAAAGAUUUAUUAUUUUAGAGA